UACGAAGGGGGCUAGCGUUGCUCGGAAUCACUGGGCGUAAAGCGCACGUAGGCGGAUCUUUAAGUCAGGGGUGAAAUCCCAAGGCUCAACCUUGGAACUGCCUUUGAUACUGGGGAUCUCGAGUCCGGAAGAGGUUGGUGGAACUGCGAGUGUAGAGGUGAAAUUCGUAGAUAUUCGCAAGAACACCAGUGGCGAAGGCGGCCAACUGGUCCGGUACUGACGCUGAGGCGCGAAAGCGUGGGGAGCGAACGAGGA
rnacentral:rRNA from 1 species